rnacentral:rRNA from 1 species
ACUAGUGGCGGACGGGUGAGUAACGCGUGAGAAUCUGCCUUCAGGAUGGGGACAACAGUUGGAAACGACUGCUAAUACCCAAUAUGCCUACGGGUGAAACUUUUUUGGCCUGAAGAUGAGCUCGCGUCUGAUUAGCUAGUUGGUGGGGUAAGAGCCUACCAAGGCAUCGAUCAGUAGCUGGUCUGAGAGGAUGAGCAGCCACACUGGGACUGAGACACGGCCCAGACUCCUACGGGAGGCAGCAGUGGGGAAUUUUCCGCAAUGGGCGAAAGCCUGACGGAGCAAUACCGCGUGAGGGAGGAAGGUUUUUGGAUUGUAAACCUCUUUUCUCAGGGAAGAAUUUUGACGGUACCUGAGGAAUAAGCAUCGGCUAACUCCGUGCCAGCAGCCGCGGUAAUACGGGGGAUGCAAGCGUUAUCCGGAAUUAUUGGGCGUAAAGAGUCCGUAGGUGGUCAUGCAAGUCUGCUGUCAAAGCCCACAGCUUAACUGUGGAUAGGCGGUGGAAACUGCAUGACUUGAGUACGGUAGGGGUAGAGGGAAUUCCCAGUGUAGCGGUGAAAUGCGUAGAUAUUGGGAAGAACACCGGUGGCGAAAGCGCUCUACUGGACCGUAACUGACACUGAGGGACGAAAGCCAAGGUAGCGAAAGGGAUUAGAUACCCCUGUAGUCUUGGCCGUAAACGAUGGAUACUAGGCGUUGUCUGUAUCGACCCGGACAGUGCCGAAGCUAACGCGUUAAGUAUCCCGCCUGGGGAGUACGCACGCAAGUGUGAAACUCAAAGGAAUUGACGGGGGCCCGCACAAGCGGUGGAGUAUGUGGUUUAAUUCGAUGCAACGCGAAGAACCUUACCAAGAUUUGACAUCCCGUGAACUUUCCAGA